UGUUGAAGUGAAUUCUAGAAAUAAUUUUGAGUGUAAAUAUUACUUUAUACAUUGUUGGCACUCAAAUACUUUUUUGGUAGUGUAAGUAAUAUUUGUUUUAAUAAGGCUUCUCUUUUGGCACAGUUUUCUUUGGACUUAUUGAGGGAAGCAUGAAGAGGAAAGAGCCUUGACGUAGAUUGCAAACAUAAGUUGAUCUGAGAUGUUUGAUUCUCUAACUUUUACCAGUUUCCAAUGGUUGGCAUCUGAUUGAAGUUCAGAGGUGUGGCUCAAAUGAAUGCAGAGGAUCUUAAUCAGAUUACUGGAACCAUUUAUAAGCAGAAGAAAUUCAGACAUGGUACGAGAAAGCCACACGGAGGAGCCAUCACCAUGUAACCAGAAAGCCAAGGAACCCAACGAUUGCCAGUCUGCCAGAACACUACCAACCCUGGGAGGAAACAAGCCUCUGAAACCGUGAGCCAAGAAUUCAUUCAUAGUCAAGAGAAGCAUUUGCACAAGUAUGCCAGGAAGCACAUACAAGAAUGUUCAUAACGGUACUGUUUUAUAAUAGCAGCAACUGAACGUCCAUCAAAAAGCGAAAAG